rnacentral:pre_miRNA from 1 species
UUAAAACAAAUUUGUAUGGAGUUGGAACGUUUGCCUACCUUUGCGACUAGGGGCGCUGUUCUAACUGUAUACAAAUUUGGGUUA